rnacentral:rRNA from 1 species
UACGUAGGGUGCGAGCGUUAAUCGGAAUUAUUGGGCGUAAAGCGUGCGGAGGCGGUUUUGUAAGUCAGAUGUGAAAUCCCCGGGCUCAACCUGGGAACUGCGUUUGAAACUACAAGACUAGAAUAUGUCAGAGGGGGGUAGAAUUCCACGUGUAGCAGUGAAAUGCGUAGAGAUGUGGAGGGAUACCGAUGGCGAAGGCAGCUCCCUGGGAUAAUAUUGACGCUCAUGCACGAAAGCGUGGGGAGCAAACAGG